UACGUAGGGUGCGAGCGUUGUCCGGAAUUAUUGGGCGUAAAGAGCUCGUAGGUGGCGGGUCACGUCGGGUGUGAAAGCCCGGGGCUUAACUCCGGGUCUGCAUUCGAUACGGGUCUGCUGGGGUCCGGCAGGGGAGACUGGAAUUCCUGGUGUAGCGGUGAAAUGCGUAGAUAUCUGGAGGAACACCGGUGGCGAAGGCGGCAUCCUGGACCGGCACUGACGCUGAGGAGCGAAAGCCAGGGGAGCAAACGGG
rnacentral:rRNA from 1 species